rnacentral:rRNA from 1 species
GUAGUUAAUAGCUGCAUUAUUUGACGUUAGCGACAGAAGAAGCACCGGCUAACUCCGUGCAGCAGCCGCGGUAAUACGGAGGGUGCGAGCGUAAUCGGAAUUACUGGGCGUAAAGCGCAUGCAAGGUGGUUUGUUUAAGUCAGAUGUGAAAGCCCGGGGCUCAACCUCGGAAUUGCAUUUGAAACUGGCAGACUAGAGUACUGUAGAGGGGGGUAGAAUUUCAGGUGUAGCGGUGAAAUGCGUAGAGAUCUGAAGGAAUACCGGUGGCGAAGGCGGCCCCCUGGACAGAUACUGACACUCAGAUGCGAAAGCGUGGGGAGCAAACAGGAUUAGAUACCCUGGUAGUCCACGCCGUAAACGAUGUCUACUUGGAGGUUGUGGCCUUGAGCCGUGGCUUUUGGAGCUAACGCGUUAAGUAGACCGCCUGGGGAGUACGGUCGCAAGAUUAAAACUCAAAUGAAUUGACGGGGGCCCGCACAAGCGGUGGAGCAUGUGGUUUAAUUUGAUGCAACGCGAAGAACCUUACCUACUCUUGACAUCCAGAGAACUUUCCAGAGAUGGAUUGGUGCCUUCGGGAACUUUGAGACAGGUGCUGCAUGGCUGUCGUCAGCUCGUGUUGUGAAAUGUUGGGUUAAGUCCCGCAACGAGCGCAACCCUUAUCCUUGUUUGCCAGCGAGUAAUGUCGGGAACUCCAGGGAGACUGCCGGUGAUAAACCGGAGGAAGGUGGGGACGACGUCAAGUCAUCAUGGCCCUUACGAGUAGGGCUACACACGUGCUACAAUGGCGCAUACAGAGGGCGGCCAACUUGCGAGAGUGAGCGAAUCCCAAAAAGUGCGUCGUAGUCCGGAUCGGAGUCUGCAACUCGACUCCGUGAAGUCGGAAUCGCUAGUAAUCGUGGAUCAGAAUGCCACGGUGAAUACGUUCCCGGGCCUUGUACACACCGCCCGUCACACCAUGGGAGUGGGCUGCAAAAGAAGUAGGUAGUUUAACCUUCGGGAGGACGCUACCACUUGG